GCAGCGGCGGCCCGCACCAUGGCCGAGAAGCCGCGGCUCCCGGGCGGCGCCGUGUCGGCCGCCGCCUACCCUGACGCCCCCGCCGAGUUCCCCCCGCACCUCCAGGCGGGCGCGAUGCGGCGCCGCUUCUGGGGCGUGUUCAACUGCCUGUGCGCCGGCGCGUUCGGGGCCCUGGCCGCCGCCUCCGCCAAGCUGGCCUUCGGCAGCGAGGUGCACAUGCUCACGUGCGUGGUGGGCAUCGUGGUGAUGGCGACCACCAAUUCCCUGAUGUGGACCUUCUUCAGCCGGGGUCUCAGCUUCUCCAUGUCCUCAGCCAUCGCGUCUGUCACCGUGACUUUCGCAAACAUCGUCAGCUCAAACAUUCCCGUUGCUCACAGUUCCCCCACCCUCCUGGCAGCUCCUGGCCAUCACUGAUGUACGUUCCCUGUGCACUGGCCAGUUCUGGACAUUUCGUGUAAAUGCACUCGCUCGCUCUGUGGCCUGAGGUGUCUGAUUUUUCUACUUGGCAUCGUGUUUUCAAGACUCCUUCCUGCUGUGGCAUUCACCUUUGUGUUGAGAACCAACUUCAGACAGCAAGAACAGACACAGUAAGAAGAAAUAGAAGUAGCAUCCCCAUAAGCCCUAAGCAGAAGAGUAGGAACUGCCUCCGUCUGUCACUCCUUCCUUUUCUUGGCUGCAUAGUAUUCCUUUGUGAACAUUUAUAGACAAAUAGCAUGGAUGUGUGUUUUCAGUUCAUUGGGUAUGUAUCUAGAAAUGGCAUCACUGGGUUAUAUGAUAAUUCUAUUUUUUUUUAAAUUGUCUUUUUUAAAAGAUUUAUUUAUUUGAAAGAGUGACAGAAAGAGAUCGUCCAUCCACUGGUUCACUCCCCAGAUGGCCACAAUGGCCAGGGCUAGGCCAAGCCAAAGCCAGGAGUUUCUUCUGGGUCUCCCAUGUGGGUAGCAGGGGCCCAAGCCCUUGGGCCAUCAUCCACUGCUUUCCCAGGUGCUUUAGCGGGGAGCUGGAUCAGAAGUGGAGCAGCUGAGACUCGAACCCAAGAACUACCAGACUUGUCCCACAGCAGCCACACCACGUCAUUUACCAACCAUCAAAAUAGUUACAGACAAAGAGAGGCAGAAAGAGAUCUUCCACCUGCUGGUUCACUCUUCAGAUGGCCGCAACGGCCAGGGCUGGGCCAGGCCAAAACCAGGAGCCAGGAGCUUCUUCCAGUUUCCCAUGUCGGUGCAGGGGCCCACGGACUUGGGCCAUUCUCCACUGCUUUCCCAGGCACAUUAGCAGGGAGCUGAAUCAGAAGUGGAGCAGCCAGGACUCGAACCAGCACCCACACGGAUGCCAGUGUCACAGGCAGCUUUACCCAGCAUGCUACCACGCAGACCCCAGAUUUAACUCUUAAAUCGGUAAGUCAUGCACUUGGUGCUAAACUCGGAUGCUACAGAGGAACGCGGAGAAAGCAAGCACCCUCUUCCCAUCCUGAGCCCCCAGUAGCUGGGGCCGUGGCCUCCCGGCAGACAGAGCCCGGCCAGGGGCCAGCGCACUUCAGGGCCUGGUUCGUCUUCAUCCGGGCACGCAGCACUGAGGCGCCCUUGGAGUGGCAGGCAGCUGCUGGCCGCGCUCCUGUCGUCAGAGCAGCCCCAGCAGCCGAAGCACCGCCGGUUCCUGGGCUGUUGAGUCUGGAAGGGACCUUCAGCCUCACUGUUCAGUCCCCUGCUUUUUGGAUUAGGAACCAAAGGAAGCCCCCAGUGACACACAGCAGAUUCUGCUGGGGCUCGGCCUCUGACCCCCCUCCUGCUCUGGGACUAUGGCUGCAGUCCCAGGCUGGCUCCUUUCAGUAGCAUUAAUGUCAUUAGAGAGACAAAAAUGACAAGUGUCCCCAGGAAGAGCAAAACGUGGUGUGUAUCAAAAUGAAAAUGUGUAUGCUUCGGACCCAGCAUUUCCACCUGGCUACGGUUCUCCCAGGACCCACACCACAUGGAGCCAAAAGGUCUGUGCAUAAGCUCAUUCUGUACAGCACCGAGUUUAAUAACGAGAGACUGAAAGGUGCCCGGAUGCCUGCGGAUAGGAGGACAGUUAAGCAAUACUUUGAGAUUCUCAGAAAGAUUCCAAGAACAAGGAUCCCCACAUGCCCUUCAGCUGGACUCCUUAAAUAAGGAUCACAGUCACUGCACCGUCUCAGCGGUGAGACACAGAAACCGGAGAGCAGUUCCCAUGGGCUGCGGGCCCAUGUCUUCCCCGACAGUUCCCCCUAGGAACUGGUGUAAGUGCCAAGAACGGGCAGGGAACCCUGCACCUGCCCGGCUGCGAAGCCCACAGGUCUUACUCCGGUUUUGCCAGGGGUCGCAGUCCUGUCCUUACUGGCGGAAGAAAAUGCAGGGCCCGCUUCACAUCCUGCUGUCGUGGCCCUCUGCCUCCUUCAGCCAAAACAUGUCUGGGAUUGUUCUCGGGCUCCGUGAGGUCAGCACUUCGGGGUGUCCCUCGGUGCGGCCCAGUCCUUCUUAGCCUCACCUGGGGAGCCGCCCCAGCCGUCUGCGGACCCGCUGUGUUCCCAGGGCCUCACUGCCGGCUGCAGAAGACGAGUUUCACCUGGUAGGUGAGCCGUGAACUUGGGGGUGGGGGGAGCCUGCAGCUCAGCUCGCUCAGCUUGCUGGGCCCCCCGCAGACCUACAGAUCAUACUCUCUGGGUGCGGGGUGCACCCAGGAAUCUGUUUUAAUGCGUGAUUCGGGAGCCCUUGCAAUACGGUUCCCUGCUGUGUAACCGGAGCCAGUGGUUUCAACCUUAGUGGCAACAGCGGAGUUAUAUCCGGGUCGAUCAGAACAGGUGUCGGCAUCAGCAGGUGAGCCCGACGUGCAGCCG